AGUGAACGCUGGCGGUAGGCCUAACACAUGCAAGUCGAACGGCAGCACAGUAAUAGCUCGCUCUUACGGGUGGCGAGUGGCGGACGGGUGAGGAAUACAUCGGAAUCUACUUUUUCGUGGGGGAUAACGCAGGGAAACUUACGCUAAUACCGCAUACGACCUACGGGUGAAACCAGGGGAUCUUCGGACCUUGCGCGAUUGAAUGAGCCGUUGUCGGAUUAGCUAGUUGGCGGGGUAAGGGCCCACCAAGGCGACGAUCUGUAGCUGUACUGAGAGGAUGAUGGGCUAAACUGGAACUGGAACAGGGGCCGAACUCCUACGGGAGGACGAAGUGGGGAAUAUUGGCCAAUGGGCGGAAGCGUGAGCAAGACAUGCAGCGUAGGUAAAGAAGGCCUUCGAUUUGUAAGACCCUUUUGUUGGGAAAAAAAAGAAGGAGGUUAGUCCGCGUCUGUUCUAACAGUCCCCCAAGAAUAGGCACCGACAACCUUCGU
rnacentral:rRNA from 1 species